CCCCGCCUAGCCAACCCCCUUCCGGCGUCCAGGCCCGGCCCCGCCCCUUCUAGGCACCGGAGCGGUAACGGACUGGCGCUCGGAGCAGGCGUACGCAUGCGCAGCAGGCCGGCAGCCCACUGCAGGAGGCGCUGUCCGCCUCUUCCGCCUGCUGCUCAGGACUGAGUCCCCGUCACUGCACUUCGUGAACGCUGCAUCUGACUGUCCCCGGCUUCCUGCGUCUGAUCCUUAGGCGGUCAACAACCUAAAGGAGAUUCUGUAUCACUACUUGAAACAGCCACCUAGGGUGCCCACCCUGAGCGCUAGCGUGGCAGUCCCCGCCUGCCUCAGUCCUACUGCACCCGGGGGCCGCGUCGGCCUUGGAAACCUUCAUUCAAGCCCCAAUCUUGCUUGGAGCUUGGGCUUCAUGAAACACCUUCGGGCUCUCAUUAGUGUCUCUCGAACCACAUCAGCUAGUUUCUGCCUCCAGCGACUCCUGCGACCUCGAGAAUAUCUUCCUUUUUGAGUCACUCUGAAAUUCAUCACUUCAAAGUAUUCCAGAAAACCAGCCCCUGACUGCACAGCUAAUCACACCCACCGGACGGUUUCUUUGUAGUUCUCGCCACAACCUGGUGUUUUUAUUUACAGGCUGGGGAGAUGACUCGGUGGGUACAGUGUGAAGACUUAAGUUCAAAUCUACAGAAGUCAUGUGAACUCAACUGCAGGAGCACACAGCAUCUGUGACCCCAGUGCUCCUUUGGUGAGCAGCACUGAUAAGACCUAGGGAGAUGGCUCAGUGGAUAAAGGAACUUGUCACACAAGCCUGAUGACUUUAGUUCAUCACUGGAACCCACAUAAAGGUAGAAGGAGAAGAAACCCCACAACUAGUUUUCUAACCUCUACAGUGUGCUGUGGCAUAUGUAACCUCCCCUCCAACAUCAUAUAUGCAUACCACAAUAAACAGUUUUUGAAAAUUCAAAAAGGCUGCCUUCCAGAUGCUGGCCUGGAUCUGUCAGUACCACAGUCACAGCUGCUGGGCUGUGUCUGUGACAUUGGGGCAAAAAGCAAGUGUCCAUUCCUACACUCAGUGUUCAGAGCCAGUAAGCACUAAGAAUGGGUUAUAGCCUGACAUUUCACAUGGGGGCAGGGGUAGCCAGGCAUGGUGUCACAUGUCUUUAAUUCCAGCACCAGGGAGGCAGAAGAUGUAUCACAUCCUACUCAGCUUGGGUUCUGGAACCCUGACUAGGGCCAGGGAAGGAAUGAAGAAAAGAUAGACACACAGAUUUAGGUACAAGAAAGCGGGGAUGAGAUAGGGUUCUGGAGAGCACAGCUUAUGUAUCAGGCACAGCACAGAAGGAUGGGUUGGCUGGUUGGGUGGGAGGUCUCUGUGGGCAGGCAGUCUGAGGCAGCAAACAUCCAAGGAAGCUGCAGUUACCAGUCCUUGUACACACUGGUCACUGUUUGUAAACUCACACACAGACCCUCUAACUAUGUAGCUGAGGCUGGCCUUGAACAUCUUGUUUCUACUUCCUAAGUGUUGCAAUUACAGGUUUGUACCUAACGUGGGGCUGUGUGCUGGGGGACAUUUGUUUGUAUUCAUUGCUUGGGGACCACCAAUAGAGUACAACCUCAGUUUGAAGGGCAGAGUCUGCUUUCAGCUGGCCAGAGUGGAUCAUGGAGUUCCCUGGUGGAUGCAGAGGGAGAUAGAAGGACACACAGAGGAGAAAAAGGAGGCUCUGAGAGGAUGUUUGGGCUCUUCAAUAUGGGUAGUGGGGAGAGGCAGGUGUUCGUGUUUCCAUGGAUCUCUCAGGUUUUUUCUCUAAUAUUACUCCUGAGUUUUAUUAUUUAAUAAAAUGAAAAAAGAAAAGAAAUCUGGCAUCCAACAUGUGGUGACAUCAUGCUGUGGCUUUUAAAGCUGCUACUUCACCUUGUGACCACGUGCUACCAAGGAAUUUUCCUGUUGUGAUCUGCACAGCUACCCAUCAGCUCUGAAACCACCUGAGUCAGCCACUUAUCGCUGGCACUAUAAUCCUGUCGGUGUGGUGCCCUCCUAUGCCACAUCCUAGCCAAGCAGGCUUCUCCUGCCCGAUUUCCCCUUGUACCCACUUCUUAGGCCUCUCCCUGGCCCUCCCCUGUGUAGCUGGUACAAGUACCCGGAUGGAGCAGAGCAAAGCCACUGCUCCUCUCCCAGGCCAGUCCUGUGCGGACAGCACACACAUCAGGGCUGCGGAGAAAUAGUCUGGCUGCCUGGGCACCUCCCCCACAACUGCCACCUCCCCCACAACUGCCACCGCCGCCACUGCCAUGGCCCCCACUCAGGGCAAGUGCUUUUACUGCUGCUGCCAUGGCCGCAAGCUGCCAGGGGGACUAGCCUUGCACCACUGGUGUCCACUGGUGUCCACUGGUGUCCACUGGUGUCCACUGGUGUCCACUGGUGUCCUCUGCCCAGCUGUGCUGAGCAGUGACAGCUAGCUGCCAGUAACAGGCUGGGCAGUUCUGUCCCACACUGCUGCGUCCCAACCGCAUGGAUUCCUCCUACUGGUUUUCUUACAUUAGCUCUUCAGACAGCUCACACCCACACUGCCACCCACACAGCACAGGAGCAGCCACAGUGGCCUCUGUUGUGCCUGCCUCUGUGCGGGCACAGUCAAACAUUGUCACUGCAGCUACUGACUGUGCACAUAUCCACCUAUGCUGUCAGCAUCAGCAAAGCUCGAAAGAUACUUGGGAAAUUUUAAAUGGGAAAUUAGGUUCACA